UUCUUAUUGGCUAAUCUGGAGCAAACCUGCAUAUCCAUUGGCUGAAAGCUCCGUCUAUUUUAGGGUGACUGAGAGCGUCUCUUCCUUCUGUGUUGCCUGGAAACGGACUGUUCGCCUAGUAACAUCUGAUCACGUUUCCCAUUGGUCACCGUUUCCGGAAGCCCGCUCUCCCGUUUCCGGAAUCCCCGCAGGCGCUGGGUCUGCAGAUGGCGUCCAGGUACACAGUGGCGAGUGUGAUUCCGCAGUCUUGGGCUGUUUGGCCAAGCGCCCGCCGGACAUGGUACGCCGAAGGGUCAUCGGCGUGGAGUCCUCGCUUUCAGCGUCCGCGGCUGGGAAAUCGGCCAUCGCUACGGCGGGAACUGGGACUCGGGCUGCGUCCCGGCCCUUCCACAUCGGUCCACCGCACUCGUGGGCGCCCGCAUUGGUGCUGACAUAAUUUCCUGACCUCUGACCCGUAUUGUCUCGCGAUUAAAGAGCUGCGCCUGGAUCCCUCAGCAGUGAGGAGACCUGAAGACCAGAGGAAACACAGCAAUAGAGAUGAAGUUUCACCAUGUUGGCCAGGCUGGUCACAAACCAGCCAGCCUCAGCUGAUCUGCCAGCCUCAGCCCCCCAAAAUGCUGGAAUUACAGGUGUGUACCACCAUUCCCAGCAUUUAGUUAACGUUUUUUGUAGGUGCUUUGAGCUAUAAAUCAAUGUAAAUUUUUAAACAUAUAUAUAACAAGUUCUUCUAGCAUUGUUUGUUAAAAAGAUUACCUCUUCUUUAAUAAAUUUCCUUUGCACCACUGUCACAAAUCAGUUGUCCAUGUAUGUGUGUUUCUCAACUCUCUAUUUUAUUCCAUGAAUACCACACAGUCUUGAUUACUGUAGCUUUAUAAUAAGUCUUAAAUUCAGGUAACAUAUGUUCUCCAACUUUUUCUUUUUUUUUUUUUGAGUCGGAGUCUCCCUCUGUCAUCCAGACUAGAGUGCAAUGGCGUGAUCUCGGCUCACUUCAACCUCCGACUCCCAGGUUCAAGCAAUUCUCCCUGCCUCAGCUUCCCAAGUAGCUGGAAUUUCAGGUGCCUGCCAGCAGACCUGGCUAUUUUUGUAUUUUUUAGUAGAGAUGGGUUUUGCCAUGUUGGCUGGUCUUGAACUCCUGACCUCAGGUGAUCUGUCCACCGCAGCCUACCAAAGUGCUGGGAUUACAGGCAUGAGCCAUCGCGCCCAGCCUAUUUUCCAACUUUCAGAAUUAUUUUUAAAAGUUGUUUUCACUAAUCUAGGUCCUUUGCAUGUCCAUAUGUAUUUUAGAAUUGAGUUCCCAAUUUCUACAAAACAAAAAGCCUCCUGAAUAUUCAAAAUGGGAUUUCACUGAAUCUAUAGGUCAGGUUGGAAAGAAUUGACAUAUUAAUGGUAUUGAGUCUUGUAGUCUCUGAACAUAGUAUAUCUCUAUUUAGGUCUUUUUUAAAGUUCUCCCAGA
rnacentral:lncRNA from 10 species